CUGUACUGUACUUGAUAUUAUUAGUUAUUAUACCUGUACUGUACUUGAUAUUAUUAGUUAUUAUACCUGUACUGUACUAGAUAUACUCGGCCUUGUCUCAGGAUGGUGAGGAUGGUAAGUUGGUGGUUGAAGAUAUCCCUCUAGUGGUGUGGGGGCUGUGCUUUGGCAAAGUGGGUGGGGUUAUAUCCUUCCUGUUUGGCCCUGUCCGGGGGUAUCAUCGGAUGGGGCCACAGUGUCUCCUGACCCUUCCUGUCUCAGCCUCCAGUAUUUACGCUGCAGUAGUUUAUGUGUCUGUGUCUGGGCUAGGGUCCGUUUGUUAUAUCUGGAGUACUUCUCCUGUCUUAUCCGGUGUCCUGUGUGAAUUUAAGUAUGCUCUCUCUAAUUCUCUCAUUCUCUCUUUCUUUCUCUCUCUCGGAGGACCUGAGCCCUAGGACCAUGCCUCAGGACUACCUGGCAUGAUGACUCCUUGCUGUACCCAGUCCACCUGGCCGUGCUGCUGCUCCAGUUUCAACUGUUCUGCCUGUGAUUAUUAUUAUUUGACCAUGCUGUUUUCCCGGUUUUGACCAUUCUGCCUGCCCUAAGCCUGCCUGCCUGACCUGACCCUGAGCCUGCCUGCCCUGACCCUGACCCUGACCCUGACCCUGACCCUGCCCCUGACCCCUGACCCUGAGCCUGCCUGCCUGACCUGACCUGACCCUGAGCCUGCCUGCCUGCCUGACCCUGAGCCUGCCUGCCCUGACCCUGAGCCUGAGCCUGCCCUGACCCUGACCCUGAGCCUGCCUGACCUGACCUGACCCUGCCUGACCCUGAGCCUGCCUGCCCUGACCCUGAGCCUGCCUGACCCUGACCCUGAGCUUGCCUGCCCUGACUCUGACCCUGAGCCUGCCUGCCCUGACCCUGAGCCUGCCUGACCUGACCCUGAGCCUGCCUGCCCUGACCCUGAGCCUGAGCCUGCCUGCCUGCCCUGACCCUGAGCAUGCCUGCCCUGACCCUGACCCUGCCUGCUGUUCUGUACCUUUCGGACUCUUCUCUGGAUUACUGACCUCUGUUUGCACUUGACGUGUUGUUUGCCUGCCCCCUUGUUUUUGUAAUAAACGUUUGUUUCUUCGAAA
ensembl:lncRNA